rnacentral:snRNA from 1 species
GAGAGCUCCAAGUGGGCCAUUU